AUUGAACGCUGGCGGCAUGCCUUACACAUGCAAGUCGAACGGCAGCACGGGAGCUUGCUCCUGGUGGCGAGUGGCGAACGGGUGAGUAAUACAUCGGAACGUACCCUGAAGUGGGGGAUAACGUAGCGAAAGUUACGCUAAUACCGCAUAUUCUGUGAGCAGGAAAGAGGGGGAUCGCAAGACCUCUUGCUUUAGGAGCGGCCGAUGUCGGAUUAGCUAGUUGGUGAGGUAAAGGCUCACCAAGGCGACGAUCCGUAGCGGGUCUGAGAGGAUGAUCCGCCACACUGGGACUGAGACACGGUCCAGACUCCUACGGGAGGCAGCAGUGGGGAAUUUUGGACAAUGGGGGCAACCCUGAUCCAGCCAUGCCGCGUGAGUGAAGAAGGCC
rnacentral:rRNA from 1 species